rnacentral:rRNA from 1 species
GACGAACCGAGCGAACGUUGUUCGGAAUCACUGGGCGUAAAGGGUGCGUAGGUGGCAGGGUAAGUCGGAUGUGAAAUCUCCGAGCUCAACUCCGAAAUGGCAUUGGAAACUACCUUGCUCGAGGGUUGGAGGGGGGACUGGAAUGGUCGGUGUAGCGGUGAAAUGCGUAGAGAUCGACCAGAACACCGGUGGCGAAGGCGGGUCUCUGGACAGUUCCUGACGCUGAGGCACGAAAGCCAGGGGAGCAAACGGG